UCUGGAAAUGAUGAAAGGAUCACAUGAGGAGCAGGCACGGCGACCCAGGACCCUCAGAAGUCGGAGAAGGCAUCGGGCACAUAUAUCCUCUGCAUACUUUUCAGAGCACUUUUUUGACAAUGAUUUAUAUCUCCUUCCUGAAGCUGAUGGACAACCAGUGCAUUUUCUAAUGAAAAAAAAAAAACCAACACUUUCUUAUCCUCAAUCCACCCAUCCCUCCGUUCUCCAUGCUCCCGGUAUUUAUAAACCUGUCGCCAACAUAUAAGGCAGAGCAGACCAUUAUCGAUUGCAGGUAUUUCUGCCCUCUGUGCCCCCAGUCACGGAAGAAAGUAGGAAUGUUAAAAAGUUCUGCAAGACUGCAGAAAGUUUCCCUGCCCCACAGUCUCAGAGGGAUUAAACAGAACCAUUCCUGUUUCUCUCCCUGCCUCUGGACCCUCAGCCAGUCUACCCUUCAAGUCAGUGGAUGAUACUCAGGUAAUUUUUUCGUCAAAUCAAGAUCAUGUCAAUCCAGAAAAUUACUUAAUCGGGCAUUACCUGCUCCUGUGGAGAUGGGUCCUCCUUGGUAGGUCACCCAAAGCCCACUGGGUCCGGCAGGUUGAAAGGGGAGAAAGUGGCAGAACAGCUGGGCUCCGGCAUGGUACUGUUUCUAAGGUUCACCACCGAGGUCUCUGUUUUCCAUAGCUGUCACUGAUCACCAUCACCGAAGGUUUCUCUCAAAGAAAGGAGGAAGGAAAUUUUCUUCCCAAGCUGCUUUCUAGCCGGUCAUUUGACCCUGACACCCACCGAUGACACUGAAGAACACCCCGCUGAAGAGGCUAAACGCCUCGUAAUUUCCUUUUCUUCCCCCGACGGCCCCGGCGCACCGCCGCAGAGCGAUCUUAUCGCCGUGCGAUCAUUAUUCACGGGUGACAACCACAGAUGCAGUGCUCGUAAGUGAGGGUGACAGAUUUCAAACGCCGGGCUGCAGCGUACUCAGCCUCAAACAUAUUCUUCCUCAAACUUUGCCUACCAAGCAAUCAGCGGCUUAACCCUUUGCAACCCUUUCUGUCGUCCGGGCACCGAGCCCUCAGCACGGGGGGGAGCGCUGGUUUAAAGAGAAGAACAGGACAACACGGCUGCUUGGCGUGGGACUCUUUAUUACGUGCCAUUUUCUAUUCUUGGUUAUUUUCACUUGAAACAAAUCAGAAACGCCAGCUCUGGGAAGCAGAUGGAGAGCUGGAUACUUCUCUGUGAUUAGAAGCUGGAAAAAAUCCUCUCCACAAAGCAGAUCGCUGGGGAUUCACCUGCGGUCCCUCUUUGUCACCAGUCUAGUAUGCAAAUUGUCAUAUCCGUGGCAUGAAUCCCUCUCAUACGUGCAUAUACAGAGCUUCUGCACUUUCCUCAGCGUGUUAUGACAAAAAGUACAGUUCCAAAAGUACUAUUUCACUCAGACCUCCAGAUUCAGCUCGUUUACAGGUUAUUAACUACAACGGAGACAGGAGUGAGUGAGACCCAUAUUUCCAUGAGAGAAAAAAAAAGUUUUUUUCACACAUGCACUUUGUAGUCAAAGGAAAUAUUUACCAUCACCAAACUCCAGCAUGUCAGAACAUGUUUCCUCCAAAGCGCAAGAAAGCCUUAAAAAUGAGAGAAAAGCAUGUGCAAUUCAAAGAUGAAAUGAAGUGCAUGAAAGCUUUUCAAAGUCAGUACCACUAGCUCAGAGCCUGAUGUCAAGACAAUGAAUUAGCACUUGUAACACAAAGAUGUAGAGGAGGAAACAAAAUUAGUAAACUCCACUGGUUUUCUAAUAUUAAUUUAUAUAUGUUUUCAGUGCUUUAUGAUGUGUCUGUCACCUUCUCUGCCCCCCCUCCCACCCACCAAAAAAAAAAAAAAAGUGGGGACACGACCUCUAACUGCAGUUGAACGCCACCGAGAGCUCAUUCGUGGGCUGGGCUGUCGCGAGUUCCUUCCAGAGCAGAGUGGUCACAUAGCAGGAAGGACACAGAGUCAGCUAUAUUGUUAGAAUGAUUUCUGCAGCUUGCAAGAGAGAGGGUAAAAGGAGAUGGAAAUUAUUCUACAAGAUGAAGGUUUGAAUGUGUUCCUCUGCACUUCAAUGAAGAAAUGAAGCACUUGACUAGAAUUAGUUUAGGCUGAAAAGCAUUCAUACCCAAUAUGUACUUUCUCUGAGCUCUCACUUCUGAGGUGAGUUUAACGUGUGAAAAUGCCAUACUGUUUCUGAAACAAACUUUGAUAGAGUUUGUUGACUGACUCAAAUAGUAAAAUUCUACCAUUUUGGAGUGUAGGGAUUGGAUUUUAUCUCUGAAUAAAAUUAGUUAUAAAACUUA